rnacentral:lncRNA from 1 species
AGAGGUGGUGGUAGCAGCCAGCAUGGGAACAGGGAUUAUGCCCAUUUUUAAUUUUGUUGAUUUUACAGAGCUAGAAAAAAAAUUUAGUUUGCUAAUUCCCACAGGAAAACACCCUCAGUGAGCACUGUCAUCACAGUGGUGACCUAACACUGAAGAAACCACAGACAAGGGCAUGAGGGGACCCCACAAAAGGCUCACAGUAGCAAAUGUCGGGGUACUAGAGGACCUGAUACUUUUUGGAAGCAACCAUUUUUAUUUCCAGUUAUAAUCCCUAAAAAUUUAUAACUGAUAAAUACAGUAACACAGGGAACAAAGAUACUUAAGUUAAAUCUAAGUUAAAGUGUUUUCAAAGUUUAAAAAUGGGCAAAAUGAACAUCAACAGAGGCAGAAACUUGUGGAAUAUUGUAAGAAAACCACUUUGUUCAGGUGGUAUUUGAAUUGGGUACUGCAUCUCAAGACAUGCACCUACCAAGCUUGCUCAAAAUGAUUUUUUUUUUUUGGUAGGGUCAACAGUUUUUCAACAGCCACAACAAUAACCACUCAAAGGCAGAAUAUAAAUAUUUAAAUAUGCGUGGGAGCUGAAUGGAUGGCUCAGUACUUGAGAGAACGCACUGCUCUUGCUGAGGACGUGGGUUCAGUUCCCAGGACCUCUAGCAGGGGGUUUACAACCUUCUGGAACUCUAGCUCCAGGGGAUCUGGCGCCCCCUUCUGGAAUCCAUGAGCACCUGUACUCAAAAUGUUCCUGUACCCACCCCACCCACACACACAUACACAUAAUUAACAGUAAAAUAUAUUUAAAUAUACUUAGGAAGCUGAAUGAUGGGGCCAUGGAAUAUCUCCUUCCAUUUUUGUAAUGCUUUAAGAGUCUAUAAUUAUUCCAAAAUAAAAGGAUUUUCAAAAAGCAAACCUAAUAGAGUAAGUUCGUCACUAUCUACAUAUCUCUAUCUUAAAAUUUAACACUGCAGACUUAGUAUUCAGUUCCAAAUGAGAACUAGAUUAUAUACUGAUAAUUUUUUUAUUUCACUCUUGAGUUUAAAGAAAAAGGGGCUCAGGUUUCUAACAUGCUUCCCGGAAGAUCGCCCUUGCCUUGUGAGAAUGUUUCUAACAACCUCACACCAAAACGGAUUUUCCAUUAAAAUAUCAAGAUGCUUAUGAUUUUACGUUUCUAAUGUGUGUUAACUGAAGCAUCACUGGGCUUGAGAGUGCUGCCCGUCAUGAUGAGAAGGCCAGGGGGCCUUUGGUUCUUUGUUAGUGUGGAAGUUGCUGUUGGUGUUGCAAUCGCUGGGACCCCAGGAUGCUUGUUUGGCACUCAGUGCUGUUGUGUCCAAAGCAAAUGAGGACUCUGGGAAUUUAAAAGGCUUAAAAAUAUUUUUCCAGAAAAACAGUCCGUGGAUUACUUAAAAGAAUUAACAUUCUUAAACAGCACCAUGUGAUGGAAGGGGAGCUGGAGCUGAUUGCUUGUGAGUAGUGAAGGUGCGUUGUGAUAGAGGAUCGUGCCAACAGAAUAAGCAGCUUCUUUCAAAGGGGAAACAGGCUAGUUGUUUUUAUGCCCUCGUUAUUAUUAAUCUGAAGUUAUAAGGUAAAAAACAUUUAGUUUCUGCAAGAGUAGAUUCUAAGAGGGAAUUUGGCAGAAUAUGUUGUUCUACUAAGUUUGGAAAAUGCUGUAUUGUGCAGAGCUGACUUGCUGUAGGCUUUUCAGAGCCUUUGAUGUGUAAAUGUGUGUUUUUGGUUUCUAGCUUCAGAGAUGUUUUACUUUAUUAGCAAAGAGGACAGACUGAACAAGGCUGCGCGCAGGCGCAUACUCAUCCCCCAGGGGGACUCAUUGUCUCCAGUAAGCACCUCCACUUAAUACCACUUCCCUAACUUAUUUUACUGAGGAUUUUUUAAAAGUCGAUGUUUUAUGGGAUUUGUGUUCUGAGAAAUGUCCUUAGGAGAACAUUGAGGAUUUGUUGUCUGUGCUCAUUACAAAGUUUCUGCUUUGAGUGUUUCUCUGGUGAUGGUAAGGGCGACUAAACAAGCUCCAUUUCUCCCAGAGUCUAAACCAGCUCACCAGUGAGGCCAUGGCGUUUUGUCAGCCUCUGCAGCAUAUAUACACAGUCGCAGGCUCGAUGCUCCAGGGUUUGGAUGUACAUUAGAAGCACAACUUGCCGUGCGGUUUGGGUGCUGGAGUAAUGGUGAGCAACCAACCACAGGAAAAGCUCUUGGACCUUAGUCCUGACGCUUCGGUUUUCCACUCGAAGAUUAGAGCAAUGCCUGUAAUCAUGUAGUUUACAUAUCCCAGAUCUUUGGCGAUCACUGGAAGUGCCCUGCCAGAGUUUGCAUCAGCCUCUGAGAGUCAUUGGAGAAGGAGAAGGCCAUUCUGGCUGCUUGUUCUUUGGUCUGUGGGCUGCUGGCGUCUUGAUCUGAUGGCGGACGGGUGUAUACAAGCCUUUAAAUGCAUAAAGAUGAUUUGGGUUUCUCUUACGUCUUAUUGUUUUAUAAAAUAGAAACCAUCCUUAAGUGAAACUGAGGUUUUGUAGCUUCACUUUAGCUUUCUGGAAGAUCAACAGAGGAAGGGACAAGAGCUGCAUAUGAUGUUUAUUGGCUCCGUCUCCCAAGGCAGUCUCUGGAUGGGAAACAACGUAAGCAUCUGUUCUAGUGUGCAAAUACCAUAGCCUUGCCUACUGUGAAUGUAUUUUACCUAGAGCUGAUGUAGAAAUACCCAGAAGUGGAAAUGAUGGUCACUGUUAAGAAUGUAUUCUGACAAAUGAGAAACUGGAUAUAAUCUCAAAAUAGCUAUUUUCUCAAUAAAAUUUCAAAUCAUU